rnacentral:rRNA from 1 species
AUGACUCGCGAGCUUCGGGGCCACCUAGCACGAGACAGCCACUCGGCUCGAUGCCUCCAAUUCCCACCGCAUAGUUGCUCCCCUGCGACACCCGCAUUCAUCGCAUGUGGUUUCCUCUGUUGCUCCCUCGAGCUCGCCGACGUUGCUAGAGAUGGCUACGUCUCCAUUCGAUCCCACCCCGUUAUCCUUGUUAGCUGCCAUGCCAUUGAGGUCGACGGCAGGACCGCUCACCAUCGUGUAAUCCAUGGUGCUCUUGCUCCUGCCAACGAAGACCUCACCAUUGCUACAAUCAUUCCAAUGCCAGAAGGUGAGGCUGCUUUCGUCAAUGUUCAAGAAGUUCUGCAUGAUUUCCUUCAUUCCAAGCGCAUGGGUGUCACUUCUAUCUCUCGAUGCCCAUUUGGACAAGCUUUUGUGAGAUUGGUUAGCGCGGCAGAUUGGGAUUUCCUGGUUAACAGAGGCCCACAUGCUUUUGGAGACAUCCAUAUUGUUUUCCAAAGGCGCAAUGAGGGGAUGAAGUGGAGAAACUUUGAACUUACUAGGGAUGUCUGGUUACUGAUUGUGGGUUUCCCUGCUGAUUUGCGCUUGUUCCAUGAAAUCUCAAAUGACGUUCCUGGUUUUGGACAAAUGAUGGUUUGGGAUAGAUUUAAAUCAUUUGAUGCAGCAACCGUUGUCCGUGUCAAGAUUGAUGCGCUUCGUGAUGUUCCGGCCAGUAUCUUGAUCUCUGGUGCAAAGAACUUCAGUGGGCAGUCUUGGACCUGUUCGGUGAUCAUCUUUGACAUGCCCAUUGGUAAUCCUCUGCCAGAUGAAGAUCCGGUGCCUUCGAAUGGAAAUCCUCACCCCAGAUCGCAGGAGCAAUUCCAUCAGCCCAACGAAAACCUACUUGUAGGACCUGUUGGCUUUCAUCUUAUGUAA